rnacentral:rRNA from 1 species
AGUGAGCGCUGGCGGUAGGCCUAACACAUGCAAGUCGAACGGCAGCACAGUAAGAGCUUGCUCUUACGGGUGGCGAGUGGCGGACGGGUGAGGAAUACAUCGGAAUCUACUUUUUCGUGGGGGAUAACGUAGGGAAACUUACGCUAAUACCGCAUACGACCUACGGGUGAAAGCAGGGGAUCUUCGGACCUUGCGCGAUUGAAUGAGCCGAUGUCGGAUUAGCUAGUUGGCGGGGUAAAGGCCCACCAAGGCGACGAUCCGUAGCUGGUCUGAGAGGAUGAUCAGCGACACUGGAACUGAGACACGGUCCAGACUCCUGCGGGAGGCAGCAGUGGGGAAUAUUGGACAAUGGGCGCAAGCCUGAUCCAGCCAUACCGCGUGGGUGAAGAAGGCCUUCGGGUUGUAAAGCCCUUUUGUUGGGAAAGAAAAGCAGCAGGUUAAUACCCCGCUGUUCUGACGGUACCCAAAGAAUAAGCACCGGCUAACUUCGUG